rnacentral:tRNA from 1 species
AUCUGGCUGGCUCAGCCAGUACAGCAUGAGACUCUUGAUCUUGGGAUUGUGAGUUCAAGUCCCCACGCUGGGUG